GUUUCAUCCUAUCCUUUUCAGUGGCCUGCCCAGCAGGAAAACCAACUGAAUAUCUUCCUUCCACACAUGUCGACCGUCUACCGUGUUUCGUUCGACGUGCCGCCCCUGACAACUGGCUACACCGUCGAACAGAGUCUAUCCACUCGCCCCUCCGAGACGCCUGCAUGCAAAGAAGAGUUUAGUUUGACCAGCCACGUGUAAACGCCGGGGAGUUGCAGCUUCGAUUGGGGGACGGUACCACAGCAGUGCGGCAAGGCUGCGUCCUCACCCGCUAGCGCGAUUGGUUAAGGUGUUGCUAGUAGUCUGUCGAAUAAGCUGCGAAACGACGGAUGGUCGAAUAGUUCCGGACCCAACAGAUAUGUUUUACAGAGUAUGUCUUGUUCACAGGUUUCGAUCCAUAGUGAGACCACAGGAGCACGUUUUCUGCGACAGCCUCACUUCUACGCGCAACCCUGGAGGAAACAGAAGGUGAAGAAGGUUUCCACAUCUCUACCAGCAUACCAUUGAGCGCAUCUUCACCACACCCAACGUCAUUUGUUGCCUUACGCGACACGUCUGUGGUGGUGCGGCACAAAAAAUGUUUGCCACUCGACGUCCAACACAGGCGUUCCGCAAGGUACCUCCAUAAACAACGGCAUUGCCCGGGUUCGUGGUUGCCGGCGACGACCACUACUAUACUUGUUAUCACCACGAUUUUGAACUUCCUCGACCGUAUGUUCGUCCUUCCAAUUCUGACUACUCCUGACCAUUCCACAGUAUGCGGUGGCAUUUAGCGGUUCGCAAUUACGUCACUUUGACGUGGCAUGGAACGGAGCCUGUUGCAGCGCAUGAGAGAGCUGUGAGGUGCGUCGAACCUCUAUGCUCACGAUGUCCAUCGUACCGAUUACUACAAAACCCUCACCCGCCAAUACCAAGCGGCACGGAU
rnacentral:lncRNA from 1 species